rnacentral:rRNA from 1 species
AGUGAACGCUGGCGGUAGGCCUAACACAUGCAAGUCGAACGGCAGCACAGAGGAGCUUGCUCCUUGGGUGGCGAGUGGCGGACGGGUGAGGAAUACAUCGGAAUCUACUCUGUCGUGGGGGAUAACGUAGGGAAACUUACGCUAAUACCGCAUACGACCUACGGGUGAAAGCAGGGGACCUUCGGGCCUUGCGCGAUUGAAUGAGCCGAUGUCGGAUUAGUUAGUUGGCGGGGUAAAGGCCCACCAAGGCGACGAUCCGUAGCUGGUCUGAGAGGAUGAUCAGCCACACUGGAACUGAGACACGGUCCAGACUCCUACGGGAGGCAGCAGUGGGGAAUAUUGGACAAUGGGCGCAAGCCUGAUCCAGCCAUACCGCGUGGGUGAAGAAGGCCUUCGGGUUGUAAAGCCCUUCUGUUGGGAAAGAAAUCCAGCUGGCUAAUACCCGGUUGGGAUGACGGUACCCAAAGAAUAAGCACCGGCUAACUUCGUGCCAGCCGCCGCGGUAA